rnacentral:rRNA from 1 species
GUCUUCGGAUGCUGACGAGUGGCGAACGGGUGAGUAAUACAUCGGAACGUGCCCGAGAGUGGGGGAUAACGGAGCGAAAGCUUUGCUAAUACCGCAUACGAUCUACGGAUGAAAGCAGGGGACCGCAAGGCCUUGCGCUCAUGGAGCGGCCGAUGGCAGAUUAGGUAGUUGGUGGGAUAAAAGCUUACCAAGCCGACGAUCUGUAGCUGGUCUGAGAGGACGACCAGCCACACUGGGACUGAGACACGGCCCAGACUCCUACGGGAGGCAGCAGUGGGGAAUUUUGGACAAUGGGCGAAAGCCUGAUCCAGCCAUGCCGCGUGCAGGAUGAAGGCCUUCGGGUUGUAAACUGCUUUUGUACGGAACGAAAAGACUCUGGUUAAUACCUGGGGUCCAUGACGGUACCGUAAGAAUAAGCACCGGCUAACUACGUGCCAGCAGCCGCGGUAAUACGUAGGGUGCAAGCGUUAAUCGGAAUUACUGGGCGUAAAGCGUGCGCAGGCGGUUAUAUAAGACAGAUGUGAAAUCCCCGGGCUCAACCUGGGAACUGCAUUUGUGACUGUAUAGCUAGAGUACGGUAGAGGGGGAUGGAAU